GUGCACAUUCCAGAGACGUGAAGUAUAUUUCUUUGUCCGUCUUUCCAAAUGCAACGGGUCAAACGUCCGCAAAUUUUCGACAGCUACCUAAUGCGACGCUCCGCCCACCACAACACGAACUAGUGUCGGCUCUUCACAUGACUUCAACCAGUAGAUGUCAGUAAUGUGCAUUGAAGCUGGUGCUACCUCGCCAUGAAACAAAGCGAAGAAGAAAAUGACGUAACUUCCCGUUCACCAACGAACGAAUCAGUGAGUGAACAAAUCAGUGAGUGAUUUGCAUUUCCGUUUCAUCGCGAGAACGGAUCAGUGAGGGUUACUGACUUUCCCGACUUCCUGUUGGCAAACGAGUCAAUGGGUGAACUGCCUUCCCGUGCAUCAACGGAUCUGUCAGUGGAUUGCGUCUCCUGGCGUGAACUAUGUAAACCAGAAUGUAGAUUUAUGAUUUACUUAUUGUAGUUUUUAAAUAACGUGUAUGCAUAUAUACUCCUAAAUAUUGUUAUCCAGUAUAUCUACUGCAAUUUCACAUUAGAUUGCUGGUUAGAAAUUUACUUUUGAUAUUAUUAUUAUUUAUAAUAAACAUGUAUGUUAAAA